rnacentral:sRNA from 1 species
UUGGGACAUUGUAGCUGUACAAUAAAUACUUGUUCAAUUGAGUUGGAAUUUUCUCAUACAGAUCAGACUAUGACAGUCAGAUUUUUAUAAAAAUUGUUUUCCAUCAACUGGAUGAGAAACGGAAUAGCACUUUUUAAAAAUAUCUGCUGCUAUAGUAAAUUCUCUCUGAAGAAACACAACUACUAUCUCAUGGUUUUUCAAUUUAUCACCUGCUGUCUAAAGAUGCUUGAUUUUCCAACAUUUAUGCCUUACUGUCUCUUUAUAUAAUAUUUACCUAGUCAUCAUCUUUAUUUUCUUCCAGAAGUGACUUAAGAUUUUUUUUUCUUAAGGUGAUAGGCCCUAGGGGAAUAUUUAUAUCCCCUCAAAAUAUCAAUCAUGUUAACUGCAAAUAAAUGGAUAAUCAAUUAGAUUGACCAUUCUCUUGUCUAAACUAGUCUCAAGGCUGGCUUGAAAAACUAGGCUAAUCAUGCUAUAGUCCAAUUAUUUUAGUCAUAUAAAUCAGUUCUGGAUGUUCAAAUGCAGUUAGAAGAAAUUUAUUUUCUUUCAUCUUUUCUUCUCCAAAAUAUUUUGACUAUCUUACAUUUCAGAGUUAGCACUUUGAACAGAUUUUCUGCUUCACAGAUUUGGAUUUGUCCUUAAACCCAAGUGGAGAAGUGACCAGACAGAUUGGUGAUGCCCUACCUGUGUCAUGCACAAUAUCCGCUAGCAGGAACGCAACUGUGGUAUGGAUGAAAGAUAACAUCAGGCUUCGAUCUAGCCCGUCAUUUUCUAGUCUUCAUUAUCAGGAUGCUGGAAACUACGUCUGCGAAACUGCUCUGCAGGAGGUUGAAGGACUAAAGAAAAGAGAGUCAUUGACUCUCAUUGUAGAAGGCAAACCUCAAAUAAAAAUGACAAAGAAAACUGAUCCCAGUGGACUAUCUAAAACAAUAAUCUGCCAUGUGGAAGGUUUUCCAAAGCCAGCCAUUCAAUGGACAAUUACUGGCAGUGGAAGCGUCAUAAACCAAACAGAGGAAUCUCCUUAUAUCAAUGGCAGGUAUUAUAGUAAAAUUAUCAUUUCCCCUGAAGAGAAUGUUACAUUAACUUGCACAGCAGAAAACCAACUGGAGAGAACAGUAAACUCCUUGAAUGUCUCUGCUAUAAGUAUUCCAGAACACGAUGAGGCAGACGAGAUAAGUGAUGAAAACAGAGAAAAGGUGAAUGACCAGGCAAAACUAAUUGUGGGAAUCGUCGUUGGUCUCCUCCUUGCUGCCCUUGUUGCUGGUGUCGUCUACUGGCUGUACAUGAAGAAGUCAAAGACUGCAUCAAAACAUGUAAACAAGGACCUCGGUAAUAUGGAAGAAAACAAAAAGUUAGAAGAAAACAAUCACAAAACUGAAGCCUAAGAGAGAAACUGUCCUAGUUGUCCAGAGAUUAAAAUCAUAUAGACCAAUUGAAGCAUGAACGUGGAUUGUAUUUAAGACAUAAACAAAGACAUUGACAGCAAUUCAUGGUUCAAGUAUUAAGCAGUUCAUUCUACCAAGCUGUCACAGGUUUUUAGAGAAUUAUCUCAAGUAAAACAAAUGAAAUUUAAUUACAAACAAUAAGAACAAGUUUUGGCAGCCAUGAUAAUAGGUCAUAUGUUGUGUUUGGUUCAAUUAUUUUUUUUCCGUAAAUGUCUGCACUGAGGAUUUCUUUUUGGUUUGCCUUUUAUGUAAAUUUUUUACGUAGCUAUUUUUAUACACUGUAAGCUUUGUUCUGGGAGUUGCUGUUAAUCUGAUAUAUAAUGUAAUGUUUUUAUUUCAAUUGUUUAUAUGGAUAAUCUGAGCAGGUACAUUUCUGAUUCUGAUUGCUAUCAGUAAUGCCCCAAACUUUCUCACAAGCACCUAAAACCCAAAGGUGGCAGCUUGUGAAGACUGGGGACACUUACAUUGCCCUAAUCAAAAACUGUGAUUUUUAUCACAAGGGAGGGGAGGUUGAGAGUCAGACUGACAGAUACCAUAGGAGCCGACUCUUUGAUAUGCCACCAGCGGACUCUCAGAAGUAAAUCACAGAUGCAUAUAGACACACAUACAUAACGGUACUCCCAAACUGAUAAUUUUACCUAUACUGAAAAAGACAUAAAACAGAAUUUGGUAGCACUUACCUCUACAGACACCUGCUAAUAAAUUAUUUUCCGUCAAAAGAAAAAACACAAGUGUGUGUGAGAGACAGUUUGGAAAACUCAUGGUCAACAUUCCCAUUUUCAUAGAUCACAAUGUAAAUCACUGUAAUUACAAAUUGGUAUUAAAUCCUUUGGGUUAUCCACUGCCUUAAAAUUAUACCUAUUUCAUGUUUAAAAAGAUAUCAAUCAGAAUUGGAGUUUUUAACAGUGGUCAUUAUCAAAGCUGUGUUAUUUUCCACAGAAUAUAGAAUAUAUAUUUUUUUCGUGUGUGUUUUUGUUAACUACCCUACAGAUAUUGAAUGCACCUUGAGAUAAUUUAGUGUUUUUAACUGAUACAUAAUUUAUCAAGCAGUACAUGAAAGUGUAAUAAUAAAAUGUCUAUGUAUCUUUAGUUACAUUCAAAUCUGUAACUUUAUAAACAUGUUUUAUGCUUGAGGAAAUUUUUAGGGUGGUAGUAUAAAUGGAAACUUUUUGAAGUAGACUGGAUAUGGGCUACUUGUGACUAGACUUUUAAACUUUGCUCUUUCAAGCAGAAGCCUGGUUUCUGGGAGAACACUGCACAGCGAUUUCUUUCCCAGGAUUUACACAACUUUAAAGGGAAGAUAAAUGAACAUCAGAUUUCUAGGUACAGAACUAUGUUAUUGAAAGGAGAAGGAAAACUGGUGUUUGUUUCUUAGACUCAUGAAAUAAAAAAAAUUAUGAAGGCAAUG